UGCAUUCACUACUGUAAGUCGCUCUGGAUAAGAGUGUCUGCUAAAUUAAUAAAA
rfam:Salmo salar isolate Sally breed double haploid chromosome ssa15, whole genome shotgun sequence.